rnacentral:rRNA from 1 species
UGGUGCGAUCAUACCGGCACUAAUGCACCAGAUCCCAUCAGAACUCCGCAGUUAAGCGUGCUUGGGCGAGAGUAGUACUAGGAUGGGUGACCUCUUGGGAAGUCCUCGUAUUGCACCCC